rnacentral:rRNA from 1 species
GACGAACGCUGGCGGCGUGCCUAAUACAUGCAAGUAGAACGCACAGUUUAUACCGUAGCUUGCUACACCAUAGACUGUGAGUUGCGAACGGGUGAGUAACGCGUAGGUAACCUGCCUGGUAGCGGGGGAUAACUAUUGGAAACGAUAGCUAAUACCGCAUAAUAUUGAUUAUUGCAUGAUAAUUGAUUGAAAGAUGCUAUUGCAUCACUACCAGAUGGACCUGCGUUGUAUUAGCUAGUAGGUGGGGUAACGGCUCACCUAGGCGACGAUACAUAGCCGAUAUGAGAGGAGGAUCAGCCACACUGGAACUGAGACACGGUCCAGACUCCUACGGGAGGCAGCAGUGGGGAAUAUUGGACAAUGGGGGCAAGCCUGAUCCAGCCAUACCGCGUGGGUGAAGAAGGCCUUCGGGUUGUAAAGCCCGUUUGUUGGGAAAGAAAAGCAGCAGGUUAAUACCCCGCUGUUCUGACGGUACCCAAAGAAUAAGCACCGGCUAACUUCGUG